rnacentral:rRNA from 1 species
CACGUAGGGUGCGAGCGUUGUCCGGAAUUAUUGGGCGUAAAGAGCUCGUAGGCGGUGUGUCGCGUCGGCCGUGAAAACCUGCAGCUUAACUGUGGGGUUUGCGGUCGAUACGGGGCAUCACUGGGGGUUCGGCAGGGGGAGACUGGAAUUCCUGGUGUAGCGGUGAAAUGCGCAGAUAUCAGGAGGAACACCGGUGGCGAAGGCGGGAUCUCUGGGGCCAUUACUGACGUGAGGAGCGAAAAGCGUGGGGGAGCGA